UGCGACGAGUCGAGCGGAUCAGCUUUAAUAAGUGAUCCUUCGAUCCAGAGGCACAACGACGUAAGUCACCUGUCGGAUUUUACAGGGUGUCGGAAAGAAGCUUAGUGGACGAAG
rnacentral:ncRNA from 1 species